UGACACCUCACGGACUCUGAGCG
rnacentral:misc_RNA from 1 species